rnacentral:rRNA from 1 species
GCAUAUCAAUAAGCGGAGGAAAAGAAACCAACAGGGAUUGCCCUAGUAACGGCGAGUGAAGCGGCAACAGCUCAAAUUUGAAAUCUGGCUACUUUGUAGUCCGAGUUGUAAUUUGUAGAGGAUGCUUUUGGUGAGGUGCCUUCCGAGUUCCCUGGAACGGGACGCCAUAGAGGGUGAGAGCCCCGUACGGUUGGAUGCCAAACCUUUGUAUAGCUCCUUCAACGAGUCGAGUAGUUUGGGAAUGCUGCUCUAAAUGGGAGGUAUAUCUCUUCUAAAGCUAAAUAUAGGCUAGAGACCGAUAGCGCACAAGUAGAGUGAUCGAAAGAUGAAAAGCACUUUGAAAAGAGAGUUAAACAGCACGUGAAAUUGUUGAAAGGGAAGCGCCUAUGACCAGACUUGUCUCUAUCAGUUUUGCUAGUUUUCGGACUGGUUUACUCUGUUAGUACAGGCCAGCAUCAGUUUGUUGUUGGGGAGAAAGGCUUAGGGAAUGUGGCUCCUUCGGGAGUGUUAUAGCCCUUUGCAUAAUACCUUUCGACAGACUGAGGACCGCGCUUCGGCAAGGAUGCUGGCGUAAUGGUCAUCAGCGACCCGUCUUGAAACACGGACCAAGGAGUCAACCUUAUGUGCGAGUGUUUGGGUGUAAAACCCCAGCGCGUAAUGAACGUGAACGUAGGUGAGAGCUUCGGCGCAUCAUCGACCGAUUCUGAUGUUCUCGGAUGGAUUUGAGUAAGAGCACACAGGGUUGGACCCGAAAGAAGGUGAACUAUGCUUGUAUAGGGUGAAGCCAGAGGAAACUCUGGUGGAGGCUCGCAGCGGUUCUGACGUGCAAAUCGAUCGUCAAAUAUGAGCAUGGGGGCGAAAGACUAAUCGAACCUUCUAGUAGCUGGUUCCAGCCGA